GCCAUUCCCGGGGGUGCCGGGCCAUUCCCGGGGGUCUCUCCCGUUAUCCCGGGAUGGUUCCCGUUCAUCCCGGGGGUCUCUCCCAUUCCCGGGGGUCCUGAGCCAUUCCCGGUUAUUUCCGGGCCAUUUCUGGGGGUCUCUCCCGUUAUCCCGGGAUGGUUCCCGUUUUUCCCGGUGUCUCUCCCGUUAUUCCCGGGGGUCUCUCCCAUUCCCGGGGGGUCCCGGGCCAUUCCCGGGGGUCUCGGUCAUCCCGGGGGUCUCUCCCGGUCCCCAGGGCCUCCUUCCCGUUUUUCCCGGGGGUCUCUCCCAUUCCCGGGGGUCCCGGGCCAUUCCCGGGGGUCUCUCCCGUUAUUCCCGGGCUGUUUUCCCGUUAUUUAUUCCCACGAUAUUUUCCUGGGACAUUUUCCCGUUUUCCCCCGGCUUUUUCUCCCGUUAUUCCCGUGAUGUUUUCCCCGUUAACCCCCGGGGAUUAUUCCCGUUAACCCCCGGGGAUUAUUCCCGUUAACCCCCGGGGAUUAUUCCCAUUAACCCCCAGGGAUUAUUCCCGAUAAACCCCAGGGAUUAUUCCCGUUAACCCCCGGGGAUUAUUCCCGUUAACUCCCGGGGAUUAUUCCCGUUAACCCCCGGGGAUUAUUCCCGAUAACCCACGGCCAUUCCCCGUUAACCCCCGGGGAUUAUUCCCGAUAACCCACGGCCAUUCCCCGUUAACCCCCGGCCGUUCCCCGUUAACCCCCGGGGAUUAUUCCUGAUAACCCACGGCCAUUUCCCGUUAACCCCCAGGGAUUAUUCCCGUUAACCCCCAGGGAUUAUUCCCGUUAACUCCCGGGGAUUAUUCCCGAUAACCCCCGGGGAUUAUUCCCGAUAACCCACGGCCAUUCCCCGUUAACUCCCGGGGAUUAUUCCCGUUAUUUCCCAGGGAUUAUUCCCGAUAACCCACGGCCAUUCCCUGUUAACCCCCGGGGAUUAUUCCCGUUAACCCCGGGGAUUAUUCCCGUUAACCCCCGGGGAUUAUUCCCGUUAACUCCCGGGGAUUAUUCCCAUUAACCCCUGGGGAUUAUUCCCGAUAACCCACGGCCAUUUCCCGUUAUUUCCCAGGGAUUAUUCCCGUUAACCCCCGGGGAUUAUUCCCGUUAAACCCUGGGGAUUAUCCCCGAUAACCCACGGCCAUUUCCCGUUAUUCCCGUGACAUUUCCCGUUAUUCCCGUGACAUUUCCCGUUAUUCCAGUGACAUUUCCCGUUAUUCCCGUGACAUUUUCCCGUUAUUCCAGUGACAUUUUCCCGUUUUUUCCCUCAGCCUCCACGGCCCGACACCUGUACCUGGGGAUUAUCCCUGAUAACCCCCGGGGAUUAUUCCCAUUAACCCCUGGGGAUUAUCCCCGAUAACCCAUGGCCAUUUCCCGUUAUUCCAGUGACAUUUCCCAUUAUUCCCGUGACAUUUCCCGUUAUUCCAGUGACAUUUCCCGUUAUUCCAGUGACAUUUCC
rnacentral:lncRNA from 1 species